GACGAACGCUGGCGGCGUGCCUAAUACAUGCAAGUAGAACGCUGAGGUUUGGUGUUUACACUAGACUGAUGAGUUGCGAACGGGUGAGUAACGCGUAGGUAACCUGCCUCAUAGCGGGGGAUAACUAUUGGAAACGAUAGCUAAUACCGCAUAAGAGUAAUUAACACAUGUUAGUUAUUUAAAAGGAGCAAUUGCUUCACUGUGAGAUGGACCUGCGUUGUAUUAGCUAGUUGGUGAGGUAAAGGCUCACCAAGGCGACGAUACAUAGCCAACCUGAGAGGGUGAUCGGCCACACUGGGACUGAGACACGGCCCAGACUCCUACGGGAGGCAGCAGUAGGGAAUCUUCGGCAAUGGACGGAAGUCUGACCGAGCAACGCCGCGUGAGUGAAGAAGGUUUUCGGAUCGUAAAGCUCUGUUGUUAGAGAAGAACGUUGGUAGGAGUGGAAAAUCUACCAAGUGACGGUAACUAACCAGAAAGGGACGGCUAACUACGUGCCAGCAGCCGCGGUAAUACGUAGGUCCCGAGCGUUGUCCGGAUUUAUUGGGCGUAAAGCGAGCGCAGGCGGUUCUUUAAGUCUGAAGUUAAAGGCAGUGGCUUAACCAUUGUACGCUUUGGAAACUGGAGGACUUGAGUGCAGAAGGGGAGAGUGGAAUUCCAUGUGUAGCGGUGAAAUGCGUAGAUAUAUGGAGGAACACCGGUGGCGAAAGCGGCUCUCUGGUCUGUAACUGACGCUGAGGCUCGAAAGCGUGGGGAGCAAACAGG
rnacentral:rRNA from 1 species